UCCCUGGUGGCUCAGACGGUAAAGAAUCUGCCUGAAAUGCAGGAGACCCUGGUUCGACCCCUGGGUUGGGAA
rnacentral:tRNA from 1 species